GUACACUAAGAACUGUGUCAACAAGAAAGUAGGUCAUUCAUAGACUACUUGUGUUGGUUUGGUGUCGUGUGCUUCACUGUCAUCUGUUUUACUGUCGUCUGAUUCAUGCUUCAGUAUAUAUAAGACCUUUGUCUGACGACCCUUAUUGUCCUCAUUUGGUAUAUACAAGACCUCUGAAGUCCCUAUCUUGUCCUGUGAACACCUAGCCGAUGGACGUUUUUGUUUUGAAUCUUGCCUUUCAUGAUUGCAAAAAGAAGGACCAUUCCUAGUUUCUUUCACAUGCUGCUAGAAGCAGGUGCGAGUUUAUGAGGGGAGUGCCUCAUUAUUCACAGCAGAAUCGUUUGCAGCGCGAGAAAGAAAUCAGGACUAAUUGCUGAUGAUAUCACCACAGUAGAGCAUCGACCGGGCAUCUGAUUUCACGUGAUUUCCUGACACGGAUGAUUGACUUCACGUGAAAUUCCGACGUGGAGACGUGACGACCCACUUUUGCAUCAGGCCGCCUCCAAGACGCGAGCAUCGUGGGGUGGGGUGGGAGGUCGCCUCUACAAGUGGAGAACACAGAAAGUUUCCGUGAGUGGCCCACUCUGCCAACACCGCGCUCGUCCAUCGACCCUGACUGCAGUCAAGCCACGCGGCGCCCCGAGCUGUGGAGUGUCCGUGGUGCUGUGGACUGGUCACAACGGCUGCAGGACACCUACGGCCGCUGAAGGCCUGCAAUCGCCUGCUGACCACGGUGCCGGACCAGGAGCGGGGGACAAACAAAACUGACAUGGUGUUCCAUUCAUGCAGCAAGGAAACCUCCAUUGGAUCUUAUUCAUCCAGUCUGGGAUACGUAUGCGGGAGCAAGAUAAGAACUGGAGUUCAGUGAGAGUGAGGACUCAGCCCGAGAGGUCGACGAGUUGCCGAGUGACUGGAGCUCGCCCCUAGACUGACAACGACACUCUGCUGGCCACACCAUGAGCCUCAUUCUGACGUGUUGAGGUGUCAGCUCCAUUGUGCAGACCUGUGAGGGCACAUCGUCACAUCACCACUGUUGGUUCCUUGUCUUUGCUCUGACGUCAUCGAGGCUGCAGCUGAGAGGACUGACGUCACAUUGUCAUGGACUGACCACCGCCCGCGAUUCGAGCGUGACGUCAUUGGCAUUUCCCUGACGCAGUGAGCGAAGAGGACGUCAGCAUGAGGCCUGCGGUGCACGCUAGCAUUCUGCGCAACCGCAGUGUGCGGUCACGGCGCGUGAUGAGGCCUCACUCGUUCUCGAUGAGGCGCCUGCUGCUGCUGUCGUUCGUGGGCGCCCUCCUCUUCAUCCCCGGCAUCGUGCUGACCAUCGUGGGCUUCGAAAAGACAGCAGACGAGCUCAGCGCCAUGCCGCCGGGACAGAGGAUAAUGUACCAGGCCAUCGGACCAGGCCUGUGCACCCUGGGUGUCUUGGUACUCUUCUCCGCCUGCAUCUACUACUACUGCUUCGGAACUGGAGACUCACUCCGCUUCCCGGGAGGCUCGCACCAGGGCUCCGUCAUCUCGGACCACGAGCACAGCAGCCUGCGCAAGUGCGCACCGAGUCACCAGCCGCACGUGCAGCUGCAGGACGACAGUCAAGCUCAACACGCCCGACGGCUCGCUGCGCAGGAGCUUCAAAGACCUGGACAUCGGCGGCGCCAACAACGGUCAGCGAGACGAGGAGAACGUGCCGCUGGCCAGCGCCGACCAGACCGGGGGAGACAAUCAGUCAGUGUGAGGAGCCCUUCUCAACGUACUUCUCGCUUUCUAUUUCCCUAACGAAAUAUACUGGUGGUAAGCUCCUAAUUCAACAGGCACGUAGUCACAAGGUAACCAGGAGAAUAAUGAAAACAUUAACAAUAUACUUUCAUGAUAAUGACAUAAUCUCGAUAUAAUCAGGUUACAUUCACGAAUUGAAGACCUAACUGUGUCAAGCAAGCCAUGCCGAAAAAUGUCCAGUUACUUACUGAGAGCGUUAUGCAAACUCAUUGUUUUGCCAGGUCAAAGACGCUGCCGCCAGUUGCGGUUGUGGUAGAUGAGGAUGCCUGUGGGGAGGCCGCCAACGGAAAUCGAGAAAGUGAACACGUGGGCAAUGGAGAAAUUCGUGCCAAGGAGCCGGCGGUUUAAGAGACGCUGUGCACAGCGCUAACCAUUUUUUUUUUUUCGCUCCCGUCGUUUUGUUACAAGCAAGAACUCGGUGUCACAAAAUACUCCCCCUUUUUGCCAUUCCUUCUUCUUUUCCAGCACAUUCUACUUCUGUACUCCCAGUCCUACUGACUCGCUCAACUCGUGUGGCCUUUUGAUAACAUACGGCAGAGUAAUACGACUGCUGGGCAGCUAACGCCAUCUGGCGGCGGUGAUGCACGACGGAGCUGGGCGACCUCUUGCCAUCCCAUUAUUCCUCAGCUGCGAUGUCAUUUCCUUUUGCGGAGAACGUUCUGUUUUCCUAUUUACAACCAGCAGACGAACGUGUCAUCUAAUCACGACAUUACUUCCCGCUGCUGACGAUUCAAAACUGACGGGCGGGAAGAAGCGAUGACAGGCGAUGAUCCACUAGAUGUGGGACACGAUGAACAUGACCGUGCACACGCUGUGGGGAGGAUCUUUUCUUCAGGCCCACGGUUACAUCGCCACGGCCAUCGGCUUAUUAUCUACAGCGACUGGAAGUGAUAAUGACUCAAAACCAUUAGGUUAUGCUCCUUUCUGGGGUCUAGCUUAGCACCAAAUACCGUGUGAGUUGUGUAAACAACAGCAGCGUAUUGAGUAAACAAUAUAUUUAGCUACAGACGUUACAUUAUCUUCUUUCAAGAAAAUUCUGAGACGUAGUAAUUUUGGUUUGUCAGUGAUACCAGAAAAACAUUUCUAGUGUCUAGAAAAUAAGAGUGUAGAAAGUAUUAUAAAAAUUUUUAAAUCACAAUUUCAUAGAAACUUUGAUGGCAAGGAGAGACAAUCUCAACGCAAUUGUGCCUUUUUCUUUCCCUCUUGUGAACAAGAGUCGAUAAUGGGGAGAUGACGUAGCACUGUGAUGAGGAGCCUAUGGUUGGCGGUAGUCUGCCAGUAGCAGUAACGAUGGUACGUAGGGUAGAGUAGGCAGAGUUUUCACGAGAAUGUAGGCGGAGAUGUGUAAUUGUCAUCGCAAGCCCCAACACGCAUUGCCCUAUCAAUCCUACUUCCUUCAAUAGUCGAUGACAGCGACACCUGAUGCAUGACGGGAGGACGUGGCUUGUGUCUGGCGUGACAGUAAGUUGUGGAGACGAGAGUGGUUGAUCCUCACAAUCAAUAGCUUCCGGUCGUAUACAGUGUCACGCACGUACCUGGCCAGCUCUCUCGCCGCUGUUACUCACUCUAGCAGAUUAGGCGGAAGUGACGUCAUCGCGACAGGUCUUCUCGCUGGCCAAUAGAAACUGCACACGAAGCUGGCAACGGUAUCACACGCCUUUGGACAGAUGCCACGUGUAAAGUAACUAUGACAACUGUGGAGUCUUCUCUGCUGCUUUACAAAUUUUGUUCCUGUCACCUGCCUGCCCGCACCUUACUUGGCCAAACUUGGGAAACUCAGAUCGCCAUGCUGCUUCCGCGACAUACUUCAAUGCAUUGCAAGAUAGAGCUAGGCACGUUGGCUAGGAAUCACUGCUAGACAAGCCUAGCUAGGUCUUGUUGCUGUAUUUGCAAGGACUGUCGUUGAAACUUAUCAAAUUUAUUUCUUCCUUUGCACUUCAAGGAAAUUUCAGUCUACGUACGAAUUUCUGAUCGUCAAUCGCUUGUAGUGGUCCCUUGACAUGGGGAGCUUUGUCACCUUGUAGAUGGAGUACUGGUCUGGAACUGCAUGAAAUAUUGCUCUGAGAAAUGGUGUGACAUCACGUGUGAGAAAAGUACAGCAUGUCACUCGAGGCACAGCCGCCACGGUCGACUGACUCUUGGUUUUCCUUCCAACCUCAUGACGUCCUCUUGGAGCAUCGCCUCUGUCCUGCUUUGUGAGCAUUGUGCAGGGUCAUUGCCACAAACACUUGUUUUUAAAAUGUGCAUGUGCGUAGAAGUGGUCAUGUUGAUAUGUGUCAAGUUGUAAAUGUUUUUCUAUUUCAAUUUGUAUGUAAAUGUGUGCGCGUACAUUUCAACUGCUUCUUAUACGAGCACUUCUCUCAACUUCUAGCUCACCUUCAUCUUAAUGUGCGGGCGUUCUGCUCCUUGUUUAUGUUUGAUUGUUUGUUUCUUUAAAUGGCGCCCGGCUCAUCGUAUGAUCGGUGCUUGUUUGUAAGACAGUCUACACUAGCUGUAAUGUAGAAACUUGCUGAUGCUGGCACGGGUCCACCUUUAAGUCUUUGCAAGAUGAAACAUUCGAAACCUACACAGCUGCUUACUUUGGAUGUUACUCGUUUUGACAAAUUCAUUUUCAGUGAUGUACUCCUAUACUUAAUUUCUUUUUUUGUUAAAUCUCUUGUUGGGGUCUAUAAAACUUAUAAAAAGUGUUUUUGAGAAACAUGGGGGUGGCGGGAAUGUUAGGGUGAUGUUUAUACAAAACUGAAUUGCAUCGGACUGAAUGCUAACCCACCGCACGAUGAAUUAAUGUAUCAAGGAAAUUUCACUUCGGCGAAGAAAGAAGAAGAAGAAAAAAAUUCCCACGUUUCUACGGGAUUUUUAUUUCACUGUUGAUGGAGACAAGAAAGAAAACUUUUUAAACGGAAAAUGUGAACCGUUCGUGAAAAAAGAUGGCUGAGAGAAUACAAGGGAGACAAUUAUUGGGUUUUGUGUUUUUGGCUUUCUCCGCCGGCGGAGAGGCUGUCAGGAGCAUUUGGCAUCAUGGGAUGGGGAGCGGCGGAGGGCACAGUCACGUGUUUCAAUUGCUGUGGUCCAGAAGGAGAGGGCACUUGCUGGUGUCCGGGAGCCUGAGUGGGCCAAGCUUGCGUAUAACACAGGACACGCACACCUCCACAGGUCGUGACCUCUGUGAUGAAGGUCCAGUUGUCUGUUGCAAGACGACCAUACCAAGAGCCACUUCGUAUGUCACGUGGUAGCACCCUGAAAGACUGACACGUUGUGAGGUUCAACUGCCGUGUCACUGACAGCGCCAAUAUGACUGUCAUAGUCAGGUUAUCAGAGUACAUCAGCCUCAGCCGCAGUGACAAUGGGACUUUCAAACAAAAUUACCGCAUGUUUCGAAAACCGCUGGCACAACAAGCCCGGCAACAUGAUUCCAAAAGAUGUAACUGAAAAUACUGGGCAACUUUGUGUGUAUCUUGCGAUGUAAGACACGGACAGAGUAUUUCCCAGAAACAACGUAUUUCUGUCAGCAAGACGCGUGCAAGCUGUUCGUUGUGUUCUGAUAUCUGUAAUUAUUAUCAUAUUCCACGCUUUUUUUUCUUAAUGUGAACAAAAGUAUUGAAAAUGCUUCUGUUGUCAGACAUCUUGUUGCGAUCACCACUUCAUUGACACUGUGUCAACCAGCUGGGCUGUUUCUAGACUUUGUUGUGGAUGCACUUUAACAAAAAAUAAUGUUUUUUAUUACUGUGAUCAUUGUUUUCAAUGGGCAGAAGUUUCUUCCUUCCCCUACAUCCCGUUUGUCGCCAGUUAUGUGUCGUGUACAUUUAUUUUAAAAAAAACUAAUAAUUGCGAAACAAUUUAUCAUUUAUGUAAUGUUAUCUGUAAUGUAUAUUGUGCAAGACAUUCACGCCACUUCAAACCGGAAGUUGUAUGUUAUGAAUUAUUCAUCCUUACACAUAUUUGUUACAAGCGUAGCGACUCAGCCAAUCGCACAAUGACAAAUAUGUCACGUGGUUUCUACCCUCGUUUUCUUCGAACUGCUGUUGGACGCAAGGAAAUUAAUCAGUGUAGUAACCUUUUUUUUAAAUCCAGAGUCUUUCAGUUCUAUGUUAUUAGUGACGAUGCCUGUGACCGCAUAUUUUAAAUACUUUUCCUUCUUACUUUUGUUUGGCGUCUUUAACUGUAGCCAGCUGUGAUUAAGACACUCGUUAAUGAUGUUUCUUGCAUGUUGUGAAGUCCCCGAUGAAGUUACUUUUAAUGGCAUUUCGUAAAUCGAUAUCAAUUAUCUUCUUUGCUUCGGAACAAUCGGCAAACAUCAAACUGCACUUUAGAAGGAAGCUGAGAAGAGAUCGAUCUCUAUUGCUUGCCUGCCUCCCUCCUCUCUCUCUUUACCUCCCUCAGUCCCAUCCCCAUCCCCAUCCAUCACCUGCAGCUACUCUUCAAUACUCGGCCUGAAUCUGUUGCUGUUUCACUGACUACUACUGCUGUGCACACCUUGCGAAAAAUGUGCAGUCACUUUAAAAUAUACAUAUAUAUAUUUAUAUUUUUUACGACAACCUGUUUCUCAAUGUGUUUGUAUGCAUGCGGGUGUGCAUUUGCGCUCGAGCGCAAGUGAUGUAGAUAUUAGAGGGAAAACAGACAGAUACAGUUAAUGAACACACUUUCUCUACUUUCUAUUUCCCCGAGAAAUAUUAUUUAUUUUUUUCCGACAGAAUACUUAAUCCAUCCGAUCAGUCUUUUGUUCUGGUCCUCUGGAUUUCUUUCUCUUCCUCUUUCAGACACGGUAAGUCGGGUUUUAGGAACAAAAAAUAAAAGGUCUCGAACUCACCCAAGUCCUAAAGCUGUUUUAGUCUUGUGACAAACCACUUUAUUUCUCCUCUUUCAUGGUCCCUGUAGAUAGUACAGGAAUGGUUUCCACUUCAUUUCUUUUAACUGCUUUUGAGUGCCUUGCGUGACCAAGUUCGUGUGAGUGAUGUGUAACUUUGUCGGGGUGGACCGAGGUUUAUGUCGGCUUCACGUCCUUCGCAUGUUCCCCGAAGUAUAUGGCGGUUUCACAUGGUUCACCCAAUAUGUUUACCGAGGUUUAUGAUGGUUUCGCAUCAUGCCUGUGUCACAUGGUUCACCCAAUAUGUUUAGUCUGGUUUCAGCUCGUGUCGCCACGAGAACAUGUUUUUCACUUUUAUCUACCAGACGGCGUCUUCCUCGUACGUUUGAUACAAGUUGACGACCUUGUUGAUGUUCUGUGUUGUACUCGACUGAGUAAAUGGACUCUUCUGCUGUGAAGUGUCUUAUCUGGUUAUUUUAAUCUGCGUUGUCAGCCGAACAUCUGGGUGCAAUGUUGUCAUAAAAUGUUCAGUGCCGCGUGUUCGUCUGUUUUUGAUACACGCUUCCCUCUUUUCAUUUCCCGAAAGCUGUCAUGCGCAGUGCGUACACAACUGACCUUCGGUGUCCUGUCUUGUUUCCAGUCCGACUGAUUUGCUUCACAUUUCUUAAGACAGUUUUACAGUUUUGAAGUCCACGAUGAUGUACCUAGAAUGCUUCAGUGAGUCGCCGUAGAACUGUUUCGAUGCUGUGGACAAUACAUCAGAGAUCAGUUCGAAAUCCCUGUACCUUGUAGACUUCCGUUAUGAUGUCGAUGACCAUACAUCAUCUCACAAUGUGGGUAGACAGGCUGUAAACUCGGCUUUAAACACGUUCUUUAAGCAUGCUGAUAGAACGACCCGAAGAUGCGUUUCACAUGGACCGCCAUGCUAAUUUAAAACGUACUUUCGUAGCUCCGAUUGACGUAGGUCAGGGGGUCAGCUGACCCACUCCAACCACUGAAGAAGAUGGCUGAAGUUUGUCUUCCUGUAACUGAUAAUUUAUCGUAUAUCUCGCAUUUUUUGUUUUACAGAAUCUCUUACUUCCACAUAAGAACAGUAGCUCCUGCUCUCAUGGCAACGGCAAGAAAGUUUAUUUAACCAACAUUUUUUUUCUAAGCGCUGGUUAUAUGGCACGCGAUAGUUUUCUUCCAUGUCGGAGUAUCUCAGACAAAAUGAUUUUCCUGCUGAACAAUUUGGGAUACGGCUAAUGAAGAAAUGAAGGUGUUCGAAGAGGGAAACCAUGUUGACCUUUUCAAAUACAAUAGAAACCUACAGGUACCUAACUUCUGGUUUAAAUUCUGGUUGAAGUUCUAUCAAUGGAAAGUCUUAGAAAUGCUUGUGGCUACUGGAUGCAACGAACAGCACGUGAAGGAGAUACAACCCUGAGAUGGGUUAUUGCCAGGUCACAGACACUAACACAUCCCGUGUAUACCUACGUACAAACUCACCGCUGUUAGAGAGGCUCAUCUUGCUUUGUUUUUGAGUCAAGACCGGUUGACCAGGUGUUUCAACUACCUAGGAGACCAACUGCCCUCGUGACAGGAAACACACACUAGCUAAUACUCAGUUGCACUGACCUUCGCCUUGUUUCUGCUUAUUAAAUGUACAUUCGUCAUUGCAUCGUUCGAUGAUUCUUACCGUACGAUAAACUGCGAUAGUCAACAUUUUUACAGUUGAUAAAAAACGCAUUGAAGAUUUUCUGUAAUUUCUGUCGUUUCAAAGCUUUUUAUAUCAUUUACACUUUAUUCUCCUUGCAAAGAUGUAGACAAUAUUACUUUAGUGAGCUCUUUUCGAUGUUACCAGUGCAAGCUACCUCCCGUGAAAACAAACAGCUGUGAAGUUUGUUGUAAAUUAAAUAUUGUAUUAUGCAGUGGUCGGGUAGCGCCAUCAAUAAACCAUCGUUUGGAUAAAAUCCAAAAGAAGAGUAUUCUAUAUUUGAUCAAAUUGGUUCGAAUGGUUAAAAAAAAAAAAAAAUAGAAAUUUAUGUCGACAGAGAACACUUAGCACAAUGAGUGUUCAAUUUUAAGUGUAACCGAUCUGAAAGGAAAACGCGUUUCGGGGAAAACACUAAUUAUAUUAGCAUUUCUCUGUUGUGUUUUUUAAAAAGCCAGUCACAGUACAGGCUGGAGGUGGGCUGCAGUGGCUUGUCACGACUAAUACUAGAAAAAUUCACGUAUUACAUGAUCCUGCAUUUUGCAGAAUCGUAAAUAUUUGCCAAAGUGAAGAAAAGUUUUCUUGAUGGUCCCCUUAGAUUUUUGUGAGGUCCUGGACACAGAAAUUAAUAAAGGUUACUAAAUUAUCAGCCAGUUGUAUCUAUUAAUGAAGGUUACUUGAUGUACAUGCAGAUGACAUUUUGUCUGCGCUGUUUAAAUGUCACACUCUACACCGCGGCACACUUCAUUAUACUUGUCAUUCACAAAUUUACCCCACUUCACGUUGACUUUGUAACUUUCUCCGGCAUUCCAGCCCUCGUUUCUUGUGGGAAGAUUUUCUGACUUGCUUCCUGUACGUCGUGCACUUGCUAGUCCUCGUGCUCACCGUUUGAAUGAAUUUUGAAUAAAUAUAAGUCAGAAACGCUAUAGGUGUAAAGGUCUCCAACAAGCUGUUUGUAUUUACAGCCUUCAGUAACCAGAUUUGACAUCGAGUGGGCGGUGCUGUGAGGCUACUGCCGCUUCCAGACGCCAGGCUUCACGUGCGCAGUCGCAGCAGUUGCAUGCAGUUACCUAGCAGUUAGUUACAAAUGUUCAUUUUUACAAGUUAGCAUACUGCUACCUAGCAGUUAGUUACAAAUGUUCAUUUUAUAAGCUAGCAUGCUGCUACCUAGCAGUUAGUUACAAAUGUUCAUUUUUACAAACUAGCAUGCUGCAAGAAUGACCGUCAGGGACGCCAGUUAACGUGUUUUGUCAACGCCGGCUGUCACCUCAUGGCGUGUGCCGACACUUGCAGUUGAAGCCUUCAGUCACCGCUGAUUCAAAUCAUCUGGCAGGGGGUAAACUAUUGAGUAUACAUUUUGUGCAGAUAUUGACUUGUGACAACAAGUAGCUCUCCUGGCGUAGGGGAAGACAAGCAUGGAUGCAUGAAGAAGGACACGAAACGAAAUGGCGAAAAAGUGUAUUUUUGUUCUCGCUGUAGACUUCUGUAAUACUCUGCUUAAUAGUUCUUGGUUAUUCACCUAGCAAAGCAAGCAUGUACAUCAAUGAAAGAGGUAAUCUAAAAGAUGUUUUUUCUUCCAAUGUGAAGAAUGUGGGUGGAUGAUAUUAUUUAGGCACUCGUUCACACUACCUGCCCUUACAAGAUACCAAUUUAAGGAUGCUCUACUGUUAAUUUUACUUUAAAUUACUUAUUUUACUAGCUCAUAAUUUGUUUGAACUCACAUCAGUUUGCAUGUGAUCUGCAUAAUACAAGCAUUUAUGCCUGCACUUUUUGACUGAAUAUGAAAAAUGUCCUCCUAGCAUCAAGCUAGAGGUUUUCAUCGUUUCUUACCCUAUAUCAAUGAUUUACUGUGCGUAUUAAAAGGUGUUGCGCAA